ACUCAUUCUGGAUUGUCAUCUCUUUCCAGUGGUUCCUGUGCUAGGACAAACCACAGUGGGCACAAACUGGAACACAGGAAGUUCCACCUGAACAUAAGGAAG
rnacentral:miRNA from 12 species